UAAAUUGGUUUAAGACAAACGU
rnacentral:snRNA from 1 species